GAGGAAAGGGUCUCUCAAAGGCAGGAAGUGGAUGUCCAUCUUCAACAUCGGAGGGCGAUUCCACGACCCGCGGCGGAAACACAAACACUCAACCAAAGAGAAAGAAAGGCCUGCUCUGAGACCAGCGAGGAGCAUGGACUCCCUCAGCACGCCGUCGUAUCCACAUGAAGGUUCCAGACGUACGGCCCAGCGGCCUCCCUCCACCAACAUGUCUCCAAUCGUCACCUCCUCCGCCCAGUCCGGCGCCGAGGUCACGGCAUCCACCGGGGCGCUGGGGGGCAGUGAAUACGCCGUGACCUACCGCAGGGGAACCGGGUUGGUCAGCGGGGGCUCGGGGACCCAGGGCACCUACACCUGCCUCGACCCCGAAGGUCUGGGACUCUCGGACAACGAGACUCUGCAGUCCAGAUCCCCGGGGAUCUCCAGCAAAGGCCGAAGAGCGGCCAUGCACAUCACGGGCCCCACCUUGGUUACGGUGCCCCUGCAUAUCACCUCCAACCUGGCGUUAGGGGUGCUGCAGGGGGGCGGGGGGCGACAGGGUCAUCCACCGGGCCAGAGACAGAGACGGAGCCGACCGGGUGGAAGGCCAGGAGGGGGGAGAGAAGAUGAGGAGGAGGGAGAGCAGAGGAGUGGAAAGGAAGGUGGAGGAGAGCAGAAGGCUCGAGGAAGAGGAGAAGGCGACAGACGGGGGGGAGGUGGAGGAGGCGGGAGGGAGUGAGGGGGCCGGCGGUGGUGGGGAGGAAGCAGGGAAAGGAAAGGAAGAGGAGGAAGAGGAGGAGGAGGAGGAGGAGGUCGUUGAAGAAAGUGGGCCGAUGGGAGAAGCGCGCGGUGCCUCCGGAGAGCGGCGAGCAGCGAGCCGGACCUCCGACACCGAGCGAGACGGCGUCGUGGAUGAUGACGACGACGUGGAUGAGUACAUGGACAUGAACGAGGCGAACCGUCGGCCGGAGGCGACGCAGCGCCACGACGACGAGGACGACGACCGCGUGUUCGAUGCUCCCGACAUCCUCCAUUCAACUGUGGUGGAAGAGGAGGACCAGGAGCUGUCCUGCUACGUUCAAGAUAACUUUGACUUCCUGGACCACAUGGACUGCAGCGCCCCCUACCAGGUGAGCGAGUUCUCCGUGGAGCCUCCGGGCCACUCGGACGACGAGUACGAAGUCAUGGAGCAGCCUCAGCUGGCCGAGCCGCGGCCGGACGCGCAACCCGCCGCCGCCGCGCCAACUACCCAGUCAAAUCCACACAGGCACCUCAGCAUCGACUCACAGGGCCGACACACUAAAUCGCUCAGCUUGCCGCACAUGGCGUCGCCCGUCUUCGGAUCGAACGAGUCCUGCUCCGAAGAGGAGGCCGCGGUGGAGGACAGCGAUGACAACGAUUACAGCAGCGAGGAGGACGAGAGCAUGUUUGUGAAAAGCCUCCCCUGCAGCUUCUUCACGCAGGGUUCGCCCUUUGACACUGACCCCGAUGAACGCGGCGGCGGCGCUCCUGAGCGCCGGUCGGGGAGCCCCGAGGAGGGAGAACGCCCGACUGUGGAAGCGGACUCUUCCGCAUGUGAGGAAUCAACCGCUGGAGACCAGGAGGAGAUAGAAGUAGAAGACGAAGGAGAUGAAGAGGGACUGAGAGGAAAGGAGCAAGCAGAGCAGGAAGAGGAAGAUACGCAGGAGAACCAAAGCCAAGCGACAGCAGAAGACGUCCUGGAGGACUCUCAAAGCGACGAAGAACAACCUCUCCCUCCACCCGACUUCCCGCCGCCCGGCGACGACCAAUCGGCCGCCGCGGCCCGCGUGGACGUCGAGGUCGAGGCGGACGCGUUUGACGACCAUCGCGGCGGUUGUCCGCCUUCCCGCGACGGCCCUGGCGCGACGCAGAGCGACGCUGUCGACGUUCCCUCAGAGGGGUCCAGGGACUCCGCCGUGGCGGCGACAGGACAGCCGGCGAAAGAGAGGGACGGGGGAGAGGACAGACAGGUGAACGAAGAGGCAGAGGACACGUGUCCCGAGACGUUGAUAGAGGUGAAAGUAAGUGGCGGUGACGCGUGGGAGGGAGGCGGGGGAGUGAUAGCUGAGCGGGGAGGUGACGAAGAGCCGCACGCCGCUAUUUGUGGUGAACUCGAGGACGCCGUCGCGUGCGAAGGGAUGAAGGUCGAGGAGAGCGAGCAGACGGACGGGGAGGGGGACACGAUGAAAGACGCCAGCGAUGGAGGAGAAGACGCGCCGGCAGCAAAGGGUCCGGGAGAGGAAAUGCUGGAAAGCGACAAAGAAGAGGCAAACGAGGCGGGAGGCAGCGCAGAGGUGGCGGAGGAAUCGUCGGCGGAGGCCGAGGAAAAGCUCGCGCAGCCCGAGACGCAUCCGCAGUUUGAGGAAAACGAGGCGAAGACAAGUGAAGGAGAAGGAGGGAAGCCUGCCGCCAGCGACAGAGCACAGCACCACCAGAGAGUGGAACUGGUUUUAAAAGAGAGAGAAAGACACGACGAGGAUAAAGACAGAGCCGAUAAACAACCACAAGAGGUCAGGGGGGAAGCGAGCGAAUCGAUGGAGGGCAGAAAGUGGGAGGAAAGUGGUCGAGGAGGAGGAGGCGUAGGGAGGAAACUGGUCAUCUCCAAACAUCCGAAGGUCUACCAGGCCAAAGCGGUGCCGGUCGUCCCGCCGAAGCCGCAGCACUGCAAGAUCACCGCCAUGUCCCUCCGACAGCAGCAGCAGCAGCAGCACGGAGAGACGAGAGGCGAAAACACGGCGAGGGUCGCGGCGGAGUGGGAGAAGGUCUGCGCGGGAGACGGCGAGGACGAGGGCAGGGGGAGGAAGGAGAGGCCGGCGCUCAGAGGAGGGGAGAAGGGUGAGAGGGGGGAGAGGGAGAGAGGGAGGGACGGGGAGGAGAGCGCCAGCAGAAACAGUCCCCUCAGCAUGUGCUUUGACGAGGCCGUUGCCAUAGCGACCAUGAGGCGGGAGAAGGAGAAGGAGUGCGGGAAGGAGAAGGAGAGGCAGAGGGGGAAUGAAGCGCAGUGA
ensembl:lncRNA